AUACACUGUCCACGUGUUUCUCCAGCCAAUCACAACCUCGCUUCCAGCUGUCACUCAGCUGACUCUCUCCUCACUCAUAACUGCCUCUCAGCCCUCAGCCACUUCCAACCAUCCAGCCUGCAGCUGUGCCUUUCCCACAGGGCCUUCUGGUGAACUGGCACUGGCAUGAAACAUUUCUUUCCUGACAAGGAAUUUUCUGUGCUCCCCUCUCUCUCCUAAGCACACACACAGGCUUGAGAGUAAGAAUUCAUUGUGAUAACAAGCUCAAAGAAGUGGAUCGUGCAGUCAGGACCAGAGGGGGAAGCAGUCCUGCAGCUGCAGGGAAUGCUUUGCUUCGGUGGAUGAAAUGACCUUGUCCCUCCCUGAUGGAUUUUGUGACAGGGCAAGAAGCAGCUGCGCACAGACCCUAGGGAGCUGAAAUCAGCCAGAGAAAUCCAUGGUCUGAGUCAGUCCAUGGGCUGAGAGCCUUUGGGACAGCACCUGUCCACACCAGACAAGGGAUGCUGAUCCUCAUUGUGUUCCUUGUCAAGCCUAAUUUGAGACUUUGAUGGCUUGCAGAUGUUUGGGGGUGCAGCUGACCUGACUUCCUAAAUGCACCACAUUGACCUCAAGUCCAGUGUGAUAUUCCUUCUUCACUGCUACUGUGGGAGGCAUUUCUGAUGGAGCAUCCAGCUGUGCCCCUGUGUCCCAGUCCCAGCCAAAAUUGGGGGCUCACUGACAGGAAUUUUUGAUGGAUACCUAGACUAUCAAGUUGGAGCAUCACAAUGAGCCUGAAUUCCCAGGGAUAUCACCCUGCACUGGGGGC